UUAGGAAUAUUCCACAAUGGGGGCAACCCUGAUGGAGCAACGCCGCGUGGAGGAUGAAGGCCUUAGGGUCGUAAACUUCUUUUCUAUGCGAAGAAUAUGACGGUAACAUAGGAAUAAGGGUCUGCUAACUACGUGCCAGCAGCCGCGGUCAUACGUAGGACCCAAGCGUUAUCCGGAUUGACUGGGCGUAAAGAGUUGCGUAGGUGGUAGUUUAAGCGAUUAGUGAAAUCUUGUGGCUCAACCAUAAGGCUAUUAUUCGAACUGGAUUACUCGAGAGUAGGAGAGGCAUCUGGAAUUUUUAGUGUAGGGGUAAAAUCCGUAGAUACUAGAAGGAACACCAAUGGCGUAGGCAGGAUGCUGGCCUAUUUCUGACACUAAGGCACGAAAGCGUGGGGAGCGAACCGG
rnacentral:rRNA from 1 species